CUCCCGUUAUAGGGGGGCGGGGGUGUCAGGAGCGAGAGACACAAAGCUGAUCUCGUCUCCGGACCCCAAACCCAGCGCAACGCAAGCCGAGGUUACGGAGCGACUUCAUUGUGAAGCUGAGGAGCGGCUUGGGAAGCGGCCGGCUGCGCUGGAGCUCGAGCUCCGUCCCCGUCCGCGUCCCCGUCCCCCGGGGAGGUUUCGCAGCCCUCCCGACGGGGCCAGGCUAAGCCUGGGGCACAGGAAAAGGGAGCCUCAGACUGUUGUGACUGCAAGUCCCGCCUUGAGAGUCCGCUGACCCUGAAGACCCACAAAACGGCAAGUGUCGUUUCUUGAGGUGUGACAGGCGGACGGGGCUGCGGUGGCGUGGGAGUGCUAUGCUCAGUAUGUGCCAGACAAGGUCUUCCUAAAUUGCUAAGUAGCCCAGGCUGGGCUGACUCUGGAUUCUCCUGCCUCAGCUUCCUUCAGGGAUUACGGGCCGGCACCACUCUUCCAAGCCUCCUACUUUGUUUCUGGUACAGCAGCAUCGCGGAGAGCCGGGCGCUCAAGGGUGAUGGACAGAGCUCGUCUCACCCUGUCUGCGCUUCACCAUUACCACCCCGAGUCCCUGUGUGCUUCAGGCCCCUGCUCCUUGGUCAGUGCCCCGCCCCCUCCGCUGAAACCCGUCUGUCUGCCAGCAGUGUUCACCAAGCUGCAUGCAAGGAAUUUUUUUGACAUGCUUCUACAAUAUGGAAACAAGUUCUGUUUAUCACCCUGCCUUCUAAAUAUGCUUCAGAUGGGGCUGAUGAUAAUGCCAGAAAUUGUGGAGAGGACUCAUGUGUACUUAGCAUCGCGCCUGACUCUGAGCGCUCAGUCUGGAUGUGACCCCCUUUCCUCACUGCCCGGGUCUCUGGUCCCACUGAGAACUCGGCCCCAGGGAUUCUUCUGAGGCCUCCCCUCCACAUGCUGCCAGCCCAGUGGCCGGAGCCGACACUGUUCCCUAGCCCCUUCAAGCUGGUAUGCGCCCACCCCAACCCCAGUGGAGCUGAUCCGACUCCGAGACCAGUGGCAAGCUGGUCUGGAAUAAAUCUCCAAACAAAGACGCCAUUACACGGUGGAGAGAAGCCCCCUCUCUCCAACCCCAUGCCGCCUGCACGGUGGGGUAAGCACACCCACCCCCUUGCUGACUCCGCCAGUCACCACAGGGACCAAGGGAAGCGCCAGACAGCCUAAAAUGGAAGUCCUGAGGUGGAUACGGCAGAGCACAGCCUGUUCUCAGAGACCCAAAGAUAGCUUUUUUUUUUUUCUUUUUGAGACAGGAUCUCGCUGUGCAGUUCAGGCUGGCCUUGAGCUCACUUUGUAGC